AACGCACAUUGCGCCUCUCGGUAUUCCGGGAGGCACGCCUGUUCGAGCGCCAUUACACACUCCAAGCCAUGCUUGAUGUUGGGCGAUGCGGCAGAUCACUGCUGCACGCCUGGAACGCGUGGGCGCCCGCCGCCGGACCACGAGCGUAGCACGAAACUGACCUUGGUCAAUUUUUCGCUCUGUGGGCUUCCGACGGGAGGGUAGUCAAAACCAAAACUUUUUACAAGAGUUUGGCCUCGGAUCAGGCGGGGAUACCCGCUGAACUUAA
rnacentral:misc_RNA from 1 species